AGGAAGCGCGGGCGUCUGCCCUCCCGCCGCCCGUUUCGAGGUCGUGGAGAGGAGAGGAAAUGGCCUCGGAGCAACCAUGCAGCUGCCUGGUCGCCUGACCCGUCCGCGCCUCCGUGGACUUGGGUCCUGUUCUGAGCAGCCGGGCUGGUGCGGAUAUCCUCACUAGGAUAAUGAAUACAGCUCCACUACUAAUACUACCCAAGACUACCCUUCACACACUGUGGGGAAACCGGUCUUCGGGCCUGUGGCCCCAACCUGGUACACCAGUGAUAGGGCAGUUUGGCUCCCAGUCGUGGGGGCUUGAGAUACCAUUUCUACCUACCCACACCCACUGUCUGUCACUGCACAGUAAACCUUCUUCCUGCUCCAUAGGGCUGCCUCCCCCACUGAAAUUCCCUCCGUGUUCCUGGUUCUGAAAAGUCUGUCCUCCCGGGUGGCCAUGAUUCCCUCCCUACUACUCCACUUCUUCCUAGCAGCCACAGGCAGCAAAGUGGGAUGGGAGCCCAACACAGGCUAGGCCCGUGACAGUCCUAAGAACAGUUAAUAAGAGUUAGAGAGGACCACCCAAUACCUGGCACAAAAUAGGCACAGAUUAAAUGAUAGCUCUCCUGACAAUGAGAGUCAGGCUUUCACUCAACAGUGGAUUCAAAGCUCCCUUCCCUUUGCCUUCACCAACUGGCUUUGUCUACAGUACAACAUAGAAGCUGUAGUUCUUCAAAACAGAUGGAGUGAAAGAGGUCUCUCAUUAGUAUCCCUCCACCUCUAGAAGUUUCCCCCAGGUCCCUAAGGCCUUUUUCGGGCAGCCAGCCUUGCAAUGAUAACCUUCCCCUCCACCUCUGAAGUUUAGAGAUUGGGCCACUGUGUUGGACUAGGACUGCAGAAGGCUGUCACUGGUUCUGCACUUUCCUUUGAGCUCAGCGCAUCACAACUCAUCAUGCAAUUGUGAUUAUUGCAGUCCUUUCUGCAAUGCCAGUAUGCCCACCAGACUGGACACUUCAGAAUGGCAGGAUUGUAUCUGUGUGGCUACUACUACCUUGCAGCAAGGCUUGUUGAGCCAGCCCUCAGUGCUAUAGAUGUCUUAGCCAGCUGGUUUGUUGUUAUAGUGACUGUGGACUGCAGUGUUCUGCUGAGACAACCAAGAAUUCCUCCAGACAUGACUCAAACAUCCCCCAAGUGACAAAAUUACCUCAAAUUGACAGUCUCCUCUCCAUAGCCUAUGGUGUCCCUGAAAUAGCGAAUGCACCACUCUGCUCUGUCUUAGAA